UGGAUUGUUCAAAUUGUCAACAUCAGAGAUAGAAGAGAAAGGAGACUCACCUGGAGGAAAAAUUUGUAGAGCUGUUUGUAACUCGUUUCUGUAUCUGUUUGCGUCGGACUGUGAAGAAUAAAUUACUCGCAUGUAAGCAACCUCCAUGCAUUUAUAGGCAAGUGCGGCAGCUGCCAUGUCUCUCAAUUUCUCAUAUUCAUGACCACAAAACUGGCAGAGUUUUGCAGUGCUGCUAUAGAUGCUCCUUGACUGGUUCUGUUCACCAUGCUUGGAGCUGUCUAAUUCUAGUAAGGAGGCACCAUGGAGAAACUUUAAUGCCGCUUGGAAAUAGAUACCCGUACUUUCGCUUGAUCCAGAAUUCUUGAGACGAUCUGCCAGGUGUUUAAGGUUUGUGGCUUCUUUUAUGGCAUUUGUAGCAGCUUGACUUGAUGAAUCCUUCCGAACAGGACUGGGAACAUCUUGAUACCUGACCUUAUUAGCAGUAUUAUUAGGUAGAUUUCCGUGGUGGCUUUUAGCUUUUUUACCCUGUCUUGAAGUAUUUGACCUUUCCCUUUCAAAAGCAUUGCCAUUUUCCCUUUCAGAUCCAGGAACUGGCUCUUUAAAUACAGCUGUCUCAUUCUGAUCUCUUGUUAAAGGAGACUUGGAAGAGACG
rnacentral:misc_RNA from 1 species